rnacentral:rRNA from 1 species
GACGAACCGUGCGAACGUUGUUCGGAAUAACUGGGCUUAAAGGGCGCGUAGGCGGGCUAUCAGGUCUGGGGUGAAAUCCCGCGGCUCAACCGUGGAACUGCCUCAGAUACUGACGGCCUAGAGGAAGGUAGGGGCAUGCGGAACUAACGGUGGAGCGGUGAAAUGCGUUGAUAUCGUUAGGAACUCCGGUGGCGAAAGCGGCGUGCUGGACCUUUUCUGACGCUGAGGCGCGAAAGCUAGGGGAGCAAACGGG